UACGUAGGGUGCAAGCGUUGUCCGGAAUUAUUGGGCGUAAAGAGUUCGUAGGCGGCUCGUCGCGUCGGCUGUGAAAACCUGGGGCUCAACCCCGGGCCUGCAGCCGAUACGGGCGAGCUAGAAUUCGGUAGGGGAGACUGGAAUUCCUGGUGUAGCGGUGAAAUGCGCAGAUAUCAGGAGGAACACCGGUGGCGAAGGCGGGUCUCUGGGCCGAUAUUGACGCUGAGGAGCGAAAGCGUGGGGAGCGAACAGG
rnacentral:rRNA from 1 species